rnacentral:rRNA from 1 species
ACCAACAGGGAUUGCCUUAGUAACGGCGAGUGAAGCGGCAACAGCUCAAAUUUGAAAUCUGGCUCUUUCAGAGUCCGAGUUGUAAUUUGCAGAGGGCGCUUUGGCUUUGGCAGCGGUCCAAGUUCCUUGGAACAGGACGUCACAGAGGGUGAGAAUCCCGUACGUGGUCGCUAGCUAUUGCCGUGUAAAGCCCCUUCGACGAGUCGAGUUGUUUGGGAAUGCAGCUCUAAAUGGGAGGUAAAUUUCUUCUAAAGCUAAAUAUUGGCCAGAGACCGAUAGCGCACAAGUAGAGUGAUCGAAAGAUGAAAAGCACUUUGGAAAGAGAGUCAAACAGCACGUGAAAUUGUUGAAAGGGAAGCGCUUGCAGCCAGACUUGCUUGCAGUUGCUCAUCCGGGCUUUUGCCCGGUGCACUCUUCUGCAGGCAGGCCAGCAUCAGUUUGGGCGGUGGGAUAAAGGUCUCUGUCACGUUCCUUCCUUCGGGUUGGCCAUAUAGGGGAGAUGUCAUACCACCAGCCUGGACUGAGGUCCGCGCAUCUGCUAGGAUGCUGGCGUAAUGGCUGUAAGCGGCCCGUCUUGAAACACGGACCAAGGAGUCUAACAUCUAUGCGAGUGUUUGGGUGUCAAGCCCGAGCGCGUAAUGAAAGUGAACGGAGGUGGGAACCCGCAAGGGCGCACCAUCGACCGAUCCUGAAGUUUACGGAAGGAUUUGAGUAAGAGCAUGGCUGUUGGGACCCGAAAGAUGGUGAACUAUGCUUGAAUAGGGUGAAGCCAGAGGAAACUCUGGUGGAGGCUCGCAGCGGUUCUGACGUGCAAAUCGAUCGUCAAAUUUGGGCAUAGGGGCGAAAGACUAAU